rnacentral:rRNA from 1 species
AAAUUGAAGAGUUUGAUCAUGGCUCAGAUUGAACGCUGGCGGCAGGCCUAACACAUGCAAGUCGAACGGUAACAGGAAUCA